UACGUAGGGGGCGAGCGUUGUCCGGAUUCAUUGGGCGUAGAGAGCUCGUAGGCGGCUUGUCAAGUCGGGUGUGAAACCUCCAGGCUCAACCUGGAGACGCCACUCGAGACUGUCAUGGCUAGAGUCCGGUAGGGGAUCACGGAAUUCCUGGUGUAGCGGUGAAAUGCGCAGAUAUCAGGAGGAACACCGGUGGCGAAGGCGGUUCUCUGGGCAUUACCUGACGCUGAGGAGCGAAAGUGUGGGGAGCGAACAGG
rnacentral:rRNA from 1 species